UAGUUUAGUUUGGUGGUGUUGCUUUUUCGCAUACCGCUACCUCGUCCUCCCGUGGUGUCGGGUGGUCGCAGUGCCGCCGCCGUGGUAGUGGCUGCGGGAGAGGGACAAGCGGAGGGCGGAGAGGGUGGUGUCCAAGCCUCUGCUCCUCGAGGCCCAUGACCUCCGCCGCGAGAGGCGGCCGCCGCUGCAACGCCGCGACGAGUCGUGCGCGAGCCGUCGGGCCUUUGAAGACGCCCUCUCGCACCGGCCCCGCACGCGGCGCCGACGCCAGCUCCCCCUGCCCCGCUCCGAGAGGCAGCGGCUGAAGAAGCGCGCGCGGAAGCGGGAGAGCCCUCUACAGCUCUCGACGGAACGAUACUCUAUACUCCGCGACCAAGACGCUCUCCGGUUUAUGAGGCUGCUGGAACUAGACGUACACAAGGUACUUCUUACCAAUUGGAAACGUGUCCUGAGAGAACUAUUACCCAAGAUGUGGUAACGAAGGUUCCGAAAACGUUUACGAGAACACGUGUAAGUGGGGUCGGUGAACCUGAGAUGAUUAAGCUGAGACUUCUUCUUGUUCCAGUUACUAUAUUCUCCUGAGGUUUGGAACCGGUUCAGUAAUAGACGUGUCGCAAGACAAGUCUGCGUUAGGCGUCUUAUGUACUUUUCCUUUUGAAGUCCGUAAUCACUUUUCACGUUAAAUGUGAGUCUUUUUGGCUUCAAUGGCCGCUUGAACUACAAAUCCGACCCCUAGUUUUGUUCCUUGAGUGUUUUUGAUGAUGAAUCGGCGUUCUCUUUGAAACUUCUCCAAACUAAAGCCCGUAAUAGUCGCACCGGAAAGGGGUUCUGACUCUUCUCACCGAACUAGUAAAAAGGUUCGGUAAAACCAUCUUUUCCACUUAAAGUACGGAAUCAAAAUGAACAGCAAAGGAUGUCAUCGAAACUUGAAGGGUCAGAUCAUAAAUAACUCGUAUACGUUGUACAUUGUGGUUAUAUAUAAAACAAAGUAGUGUCUAUAACCAACUUAUAAAUGUCCGAUGGAUCUAUCGACCCCAACAAGGAGAGGCAGUAAUUGCAAGGAAGUAAUGUAUGUGGGUAUGGAGAUAUACACAGAGGAAGAGUCUAACGUUACUAAUCACGAAACUAGUUUUCUUCUGGUGAAACUAGAAAAAAGACAUUCUAUUGAUACAGUGCCGUAUGCAGAAUAAUACGUUUUGUCUAUACACCCCAGAGACAGUU
rnacentral:rRNA from 1 species